AGUAAAAGCUGGAAACAGCCAAAUGUCCAGCAAUAUGGAAAUAGUUUCAAACCCAGAAUUGUUCAGGGCAGCGAUGUUCACUGCUCCAGGCACAAAAUCAUGACAAUCUUGUUCCCACUUUCCCAGCUUCCCCUGCACCUAGGGAUGGACCUGUGAUCCAGUUUGGGACAUUUAAAUAUAAGGGGAAGUCUACUGGGGACUCCUGAGAAAGUUUUUGCAUUCCUGAUGAAAAGGACAGAUACUGCUGACGCCAGCAAUCACCUACCGCAGCCCUUCUGUUAAGUGAAUCUGACUCCUACUUAUGAAGCAAGGGUCGAUGGGUUUUCUGCUGCUGGGAGUCAAAAGCAACCCUAGCUAUGGUAGACUCUGUGAUGUGCCGCUCCGAUACCCCUUGAGGACUCCCAGCUAUUGGGAGUGCUACAGGCUGCCGCUAUCUCCAGGAAUUGUACUCCGUUGAAGUCAGCUGCCUUGCCCAAUUUCAUGCCCCCUUGGGGGAGGGGGGCAGCCCACAUCUAACAUCUGGGGAGUCUAAAGGCCCAGGCUUCUUUCUUCAGUUCAAGACGUUCCAGGGCCCUCUAAACAAAGUUGGAGCCCUUGUUGCUCUUGCGCCAUUGCCUAGCUUGCCCUCCUGUCUAAUCCUACCUACUUCAUUCCCUUCCCGAUACAUGUUGAUCCUGAAAGCACUACCUAGUAAACUUCCUGCAUGCAGAUCUCUGUCUCUGUUUCCUGGGAAACACCACGCACAACACUACUGACACAUUUAUUCACAUGAAAAGAUGUUCAAAAUAUAUUGCUAAAUGACAGAACAACAGGUUAUAAAACUAUGCAUGAUGUCAUCCUGUUUUCUUAUACAGAUUAUACAGCCGCAGAGAAAAAAUAUCUGAAAAACUUUUUAGGAGAUAAUAUAAGAAUGUCUCUAUGAUCUUGUGAUGGUGGAAAAUUUCUUAAAUAAGAGAUAAAAAGUGCAAACCAUAAAGAAA
rnacentral:lncRNA from 1 species